rnacentral:rRNA from 1 species
UACAGAGGAGCCAAGCGUUGUCCGGAUUGACUGGGCGUAAAAGCGCACGCAGGCGGAUGCGCGCGUGGGGUGGUGAAAAUCUGGCCGCUUAACGGCCAGGCGCCAUCCCAUACGGCGCGUCUGGAGUGAUGCAGAGGUCGAUGGAAUUGCCGGUGUAGUGGUGAAAAUGCGUAGAUAUCGGGAGGAACACCUGUGGCGAAGGCGGCCCCCUGGUUGGAU